rnacentral:rRNA from 1 species
GCUUCGGCGCCCAAAGAUGAAGUCUGCGGACCCAUUAGGUAGUUGGUGGAUUAACAGCCCACCAAGCCGACGAUGGAUAGCUGGUCUGAGAGGAUGAUCAGCCACACUGGAACUGAGACACGGUCCAGACUCCUACGGGAGGCAGCAGUAAGGAAUAUUGCUCAAUGGGAGAAAUCCUGAAGCAGCAACGCCGCGUGAAGGAAGAAGGGUCUUCGACUUGUAAACUUCUGUAGAAGAGGAAAAUACUCCGAUAUACUCGGAAUUGAUUGUACUCUUAAAGUAAGCCCGGCUAACUACGUG